UCCUGAUUCGGAGCUGCUUGUGUCAC
rnacentral:piRNA from 1 species